UACGGGGGGGGCGAGCGUUGUUCGGAAUUACUGGGCGUAAAGGGCGCGUAGGCGGUUCGCUAAGUUGGAUGUGAAAACUCUGGGCUCAACCCAGAGCCUGCAUCCAAAACUGGCGGGCUAGAGUUCUGGAGUGGGUAGCGGAAUUCCUGGUGUAGCGGUGAAAUGCGUAGAUAUCAGGAGGAACACCGGUGGCGAAGGCGGCUACCUGGACAGAAACUGACGCUGAGGCGCGAAAGCUAGGGGAGCAAACAGG
rnacentral:rRNA from 1 species